rnacentral:tRNA from 1 species
GGCCCUUUAACUCACAUGGCGAGAGUGCAGCCCUCAUAAGGCUGAAGGCAGGGAUCGUUACCCUAGGGGCCACCA